AUUGAACGCUGGCGGCAGGCCUAACACAUGCAAGUCGAACGGUAGCAGCUCUAGCUUGCUAGAGGCUGACGAGUGGCGGACGGGUGAGUAACGCGUAGGAAUCUACCUAAUAGUGGGGGGCAACCUGGUGAAAACCAGGCUGAUACCGCAUACGCCCUACGGGGGAAAGCGGGGGAGUCUUCGGACCUCGCGCUAUUAGAUGAGCCUGCGUUAGAUUAGCUAGUUGGUGGGGUAAAGGCUCACCAAGGCGACGAUCUAUAGCUGGUCUGAGAGGAUGAUCAGCCACACUGGGACUGAGACACGGCCCAGACUCCUACGGGAGGCAGCAGUGAGGAAUAUUGGACAAUGGGCGAGAGCCUGAUCCAGCCAUGCCGCGUGCAGGAAGACGGCCCUAUGGGUUGUAAACUGCUUUUGUACGGGAAGAGACACCCCCUCGUGAGGGGGCUUGACGGUACCGUAAGAAUAAGGAUCGGCUAACUCCGUGCCAGCAG
rnacentral:rRNA from 1 species